rnacentral:rRNA from 1 species
AUGACGAGGCCUUGUGGUUGUGAACGGCGCAUGAAGCAGGUCAAUCCUCCCAACAUGAAGACUCUUCGUCGUGAUUCCUCGCCUUACUCGUUGGUUGCUUCGGCUUCUGUCCUGAUUGAUGUGACGCUCCAGUCUGCUCUUGGGGUGCACACGAAACUGCUAGGAUCUGAUCUUCAUUGCAUGACUUCCUUGCAAAUGGAGGAGGCAAUUAAGCCGCUUCACGAGAUCGCUGACUUCUUGCAAGGCUGGCUGGUGCGUAUUGGGAGCUUUCUGGAGCGCGCGGAGGCUGCUCGGCAAAGGCUCCCUCUUGCAUAG